UUGAAUUUUUGUAUAUCCCUCUUUAUCCUCUAAUGAACUGUACACCUACAGGUGUGCCUCAGUUUGGUCAGUGCAACCAGCUGGGCACAAUGCUGAGCAAAGAUUGUAUCUCCUUUCUCUAGGAAGUCAGACCCUAUUGAGAGCUGCCAUCAGUUACACACAAACUCCCUAAAUUCUUGGUGUCUCCUUUGCCCUAGCAUGAGAUCAUUACCUGUUGUGUGGGGGUUAGUGAAGAAAAGCCCACAGCACCAGGCUUCAAAAAAGAGGUGAGAUUCUAAAUGACUUUCAAGUGUGUGGCUGGGGCUCUGCUAGCUGUUCUCCAGUUCUGGGCUGCUUCCAGAUCCCGGUGAUAGGCACAGCAUUCAGCAGGAGCUCUAGCAGCCAAUACAUCAGAGCAGCAGUGUAUAAAUCAGGAGAUGGAUGCAAGGAGUCAUCAAGGGUGAGGAGCUGGCUUUAGGAGUAUGUUUGCAACCAUCUGAAACCUGUCCACUGUCUGAGAUGUUAAGCCAUUUUCUGAGCUUCACAUCAUUGUGUUGUGUUCUUUCUUUCCAUCAAGUUUGCAUAAAGAACGAGCCUUUGGGGUAGAACUUUUCUGCCUUUGACACUCCCAACUCAUUCUUACAAGUUUAUAUUUGUUGUUGUUGUUGUUGUUGAGUAACCAGUAAUAAAUAAUCUUUUGGUCAAGACUCUUAAAAUGGGUCAGUGCACCUCAAAGCAUCUCUGAGUUGUCUGCAUCAUGAGAGCCAUUCCUCCUGAUUUAGAAUUAGGUGAAGCACUGACAUCCUAGGGCAUUUUAGAGUGAGACCAAGCAACCAAAAAUUUGUGCUCUCUUGUAUUUAGGGGGACGUAGCAUUCCCUAACAGAAAUCCUGCCCACCUGGAUGUAGACAAAUGAACAAAGUCUGGAACAGUCUAAAAGAAAAUACCUCCUCCAUCCAAAAAAUGUGGGUUAGAAAGGAGACUUUUGCCUUGUGCCUCCUGCUUCAGUUUAGAGGUGAUCAAGCAACUUCCUUCUACUGAUAAAAUGUUUCUGUAAGUGGCAGAAGAAAAAUAUUGUGGAGAAAAAGAAAAAAACCCUGGCUCUUGAAUUCCAAAAAUACUGUCUCCUUUCAAAGGAAGAUUUAUAGGCAAGAAGACAAUCUCUCUUACAGAGUUUUUCCUGACACUUGGAGUCCACUCUCUGGAAACAAGCAUACAGUCUAAAAAUAUAUUGGAAGAGCAGCUUGGACACAGAGAAAGCAAUGACCUGUAGUCCUAAAAAACAGAGAAGCUUUUCAGUAGCUUGAGGCUUGGAACAAGAAUCUAAAAGUUAUGUAACACCAGUAAAAUUUGGGGCAUUCUUGUUACCUAAAAAAUAACCAUUCUUGGCUUCUCACAUUAAUAUCUCUGCUUAGGGAUUACGUUAACUGUUUUGUGGGGAAGCUGGAUGGAAAUCUGCAGCUGUGGUGGUGAGUUUUCUUCAGUGUGUACAGGGUCGGGAUGAGUGAGUGGCUGGGUUAUUUGAGGGCUGGUGUUCCUGAGCCCUCUUUGUCUGGGAUCCAGACAAGCCUUCCUGUUGAGAAACACUGUCCUACUUCUCCAGUGCAAGACAAACAACAGAACUGCUCCUGCUCUAGCAGGACAGUGGAAGCAGUAAACUGUUUCCAGUUAAUGCUACGAGCAUGGAGUGGCUCCUGGAGCUAUCAAAGCAGAGGUAACACACCUCCUUUCUUGCUCUCCUUGGUUUUAUUAAGAAAGUUUUGGUUCUUGCAAAAUUCUAAGAGAUAUGGUAUGGGCCUUUUGCGAGAAAAAUGUUGGAUGCCCAUGUGCACCUCUGAGGUGGAAACAAUGGGUACCACUAGCUCUAUUCAAGGACACGACUUCAUUUUUUGCAUGAGUGGAAAGUAUGUAGGAAUGCUUAAUAGCUUUUCCUAGAACAAAACAAUAACCUAAACAAAUUGCCCUCUUCCAAAAAAAAAAAAAAACCCAAGCAACAACCCAGCAAAAAAAUACCCCAACCAAACAACAAAACAAAUAAAGACAUAUGUAUUUCAUUAAAAAAAACACCCCAGAUUUAAAUAUAUAUAUGUAUGUAUUUGUAUCUAUAUAAAAUUUUGGAACCAGCAUAGAGCAAGGACUUGUUUGUCAUGUGAUAUGGCAGCCCAACAGUGCCUGGUAAUGACUUUGCUGCUUUGGUGAGCUGGUCAAUUCUCAGCCAUGCUCUGAGGAGCACUCUGCUGAGUCCCUUAGCAAGCAUUGUCUAGGAAAUGGGGAAAGAGGUGCAGAAGAUGUUUUUUACACCUUUGAAACUGAUAACUUGAAUCUGUAAGUUGAGCUGCUUUUUGGAACUGCGUCCAGAUUGUCAUGGGGCUGCUUAAGAAACUCCAAAAUCCCACAGUACCCUCAGUGGUCCUCCCUUUGUCCCACCACAGAUGUCCUGCACAGAGGCAAAACCAGAUGGAUCUGCCUUCAGUGGCUUUUGGUUUUAUCCUUCUUUUUGUUUUUAUUCUUUAUGGUAUUCAAACAGCACAGUCUUUUUGUCUCCUGUCACUUAUACACCCUUGUGACCAUUUAAAGGGGUCCACAGACUGUCCAUAUUAAAGCAUGUGUGUACAUAGAACCCAUCUGCUGUACUGAUGACUAGAUGGGCUAUUACAUGUGCAUUUAAUAAUUGUAUCACAUGCCUAGUUUUCUCUGUGUGAAAAGCAUAGAGGUACCUAUCAGCAGAUAUAAAUGCCUACUAAAAGGCUGUGAUGUGGUAGAAGGGCUCUUAGCAGGAGAUGUGUGGGAAGUAAUCUUUGUUAUGGCUGUACCAACCUUAACUAGCCCAACUGUGAUGAUCCCAAGCUGAAGAAACCUUUGUACCACACAGUAUUUUCCAGUUAAUUAUAUAUAUUUGUGCAUCUGGGUGUGUGUGUGAGGACAAGUGAGAUCAUCCAUUCCUGUGAGAGUUUUUUUUAACCUAUCCAGGAUAUUUUUCCUCUCACUAGCACCUUUCCAGGAGCUCAACAACAACAAUAGGGCCAAGGGCCUUCCCUCUCCUCUGGUGUCUGCAGUCCAGUGUCUGCACUGGGGUGUGGGCUCUCCAAGUCAACUCCAAGGACUGCUCCAGCUUGAGUCUGCUGCAUUUCCAGCUCAGAUAACAUGGAAUGUUUCUAGGCCAGCCUGGCUGCUGCCUGGGUUCUUGCCAGAAGUGGGAAGUGGGAACCAGGAAAACAAAUACUUCUUUUUUUUUUUUUUUAGUUUGUAUGUGUCUGGAUAUGAAAGGAAAAUGACAGAGAAAAACUCUAGAUUUUGAGUCAUCUGGCAUCCCUUGGUGAUGUGCAGUCAAGGGUCUAGCUCACCUUUAAUUCAAACAAAUUGUUCUAAAGUUAUAUUUCAUAAAAAUUCUAUUUUAGCGCUUGCUUAGAAGUCUAGGAGUUAGUUUUGGUUGAUUUUUAUAAGGUGGGUUGGUCUGUGUAGGGUUUUUUCUUUUUGAAAAUUGCACUAUUAUUUUCUCCUUCCCGUAUUUUCUUGGAUCAGAAGGUUCACUGAGAUGCCAAACUGUGGCUGGCUACAGCUCCAGCACAUCUUGUAACCAGGCAGGCCAUGGCAUGCCAGAGUGGUGGAGUGUGGUAUGUACAGUCCAGGAAAGAUGUGACAGAUGAACACUGCUGAUAAUGUUCCCCACUCCGGAUCUUCUACUAAAAUCCCCUUCUUCCAGGUAGGUUAACUCUUGAGACAGUGAUAUAAUGAGCACCUGAAGAAAACAGAUGCCUACAGACACCCACCAUCAGAGCAAUAUUUCUAAGUGUAGAGCUGGGCAAGAGAAGAAAUGUGAGUUACACUUUCCUAGCAGGGGGACCAUCAUUUCUGCCCAGUUUCUGUGUAAUUUCAGGCACUGUGCUGGCUGGGAUCUGCAUUCUGUUCCUGCUUUCACAAGGAGUAUGAGGAACACCUAGCAGCACCACCACAGCUUGGUUUUCUUCAACACAAGCUGUCAGUGUUGUGUCUGGAUGACUGCACUGCAACGUGGACGGACACAGGACACACGAUAUGUGGAAAAUCCUUAAAACUGCAAUCCUGGUAGUAACCAACAUACAUACUAUCAACAAAUGUAUCCCAUGGCCCCCUGCACAUUUGAAAAUAACAGGUCCAGGUGACGGAACAAAUGACGUUGGAGGCUGGUACGAGGUCCUGGCCCAAACCAGAGCUGCAUUUGCCUGUGGGUGACCAGUGUCCCACCUUGCCUUGGAGGUCAAUGGAAGUUCACUUGUCAACUUCAUGCACAGGAUUUCAACCCAUGUCUGUGAUCAGUGAUGAAAUGAAAUUCACAGCUUGGAAUAAUUUAUCCAGCAUACCCAAUCAAACACAAACAUCCUUUGUGCUUGAAAAUGAAUCAGGGCUGGAGGCAGCUAGCCUGCUGCAGAGGUUUGUGAUAGAUUAAUGAGCUGAGAACAAGCUGCCACCUCCACCCCCAUCAUCAGUGACUUUGCAGUCUGAGGAAAGGGUCGUUGAGCUGGAGGUGAAGGAUAUACACUCACUCGGAUAAGUGUUGCAGUGGGAGGUGAGAAAUAAGAGCUUCAAGUGGAGGAGGGGAAAAAAAAAAAGACAAGCACUGUCCUCUGUUAAGCAGGGUACAGUUUAGACAGAGCCUGACAGUCUUCUGGCAGGAGGGUCAGAGCAGGAGCAGCCCUGUGCUUGCAGCACCUGUUAUUGAAUGCUACCCGCAGGUACCAGGGCAGCACAGCCCGUGAUUCUCUGACUUCUUCCAGUCACGUGGGAAGGUCAGGGACCUGUGAGACUAAAGGAGAUGAUGAAACAGCUGACAAGGCCUGCCCUCAGUGAGAUGCAGUAACACCAAUGCAGAAGGGAUCAUAUUCCAGAGGCUUCUUGGACGUAAAGAUGAAAAUAAAGUCUGAAUUUGAGUGUCACAACUCAGUGAUUUUUAA